rnacentral:lncRNA from 1 species
GGUUUCCUAAAGACUCUUUUACUUAAGUGUGGGCUUUCAGUUUUUUACCAAGUAUCCUUCAUAACUGAUGGAAUUCUUCACCCAUUUCUAAAACUAUCUGUACCCUCAUACAAAAUAUUCAUUUUCUUUCCUUAUUGCAGAAUGUAAUUUCCUAUAUUUACACUUUGUUUUCUAAUGUCUUCCUAUGUAAAAACCUUGAAUAAUUCAUCAAGAGUAAUAUGAAGUUAUCGAUACUAGCAGCUCUGGCCAUGAUAUACCAAGGGUUUGCAAUGCUAUCACUCUAUUAUAUCCUCCAAAGUCAGUGAGCUGCCUGGAUAUUACGCUUAUUCUGUGUAGUGCUAAAACCUAUCUACUAACUUACGUUUUUACUGUUAAUUCUAUAGCAUACGGGCAUUUCCAAGAUUCCCUCCCAGUCUCAACUUUAUCUAUUGUAAAGUGAGUGAUAUAUUUAUAAUAAAAUCCUACCUCAUGUUGUCUGCCCUCAGGAAUGAGACAUGUACAACCAUUUGGAAUUUCUUGGCUUUGACCUGACAAGUUUCUCCAGUCUUCAGCGAUGGUUGCUGUACCAUCAUGUUCUCCUUGUCUUACUUCUACAAUGGUAACCUUUCUAAUAUUAAUCAUCAUGUUGAGGAUUCUGUGAGAAAUGAUACAAAAUAUAAUAGAAGAGGACCAUCAUGGUGUUCCUUAGAGAUUAACUAGAAAAGGUGAGUAAGCAAAUUAGUCAGCUAAAUUAACUAGUUGUUUUAGAAGACAUGAGAUCUUUAUGCCAUCGCGUUGUGCCUCAUUAGAUCCAUUAGUUGCUUGACAUUGUCAUUAUUCUACCCACUUCUUUCUGUGCAGUUUCACCGUGUCAGCUUUGAUUUCCCCUGUACUUUUUUUUUUUUUUUUUCCAGCUCAAAGCUAUUAUAUCACCUUCCAGGAGCAUUGAUUUUUAGUCAGGUGUCACAAAUUUCCCACUCAUCAUUUCCUCACAAGCGUAAAACUGACUGUUGCUGUUC